rnacentral:rRNA from 1 species
CCGUACACAAAAGCGCAUGUGCUGUGAGCUCGAUGAGUAGGGCGGGACACGUGGUAUCCUGUCUGAAUAUGGGGGGACCAUCCUCCAAGGCUAAAUACUCCUGACUGACCGAUAGUGAACCAGUACCGUGAGGGAAAGGCGAAAAGAACCCCGGCGAGGGGAGUGAAAAAGAACCUGAAACCGUGUACGUACAAGCAGUGGGAGCACCCUUCGGGGUGUGACUGCGUACCUUUUGUAUAAUGGGUCAGCGACUUAUAUUCUGUAGCAAGGUUAACCGUAUAGGGGAGCCGGAGGGAAACCGAGUCUUAACCGGGCGUUAAGUUGCAGGGUAUAGACCCGAAACCCGGUGAUCUAGCCAUGGGCAGGUUGAAGGUUGGGUAACACUAACUGGAGGACCGAACCGACUAAUGUUGAAAAAUUAGCGGAUGACCUGUGGCUGGGGGUGAAAGGCCAAUCAAACCGGGAGAUAGCUGGUUCUCCCCGAAAGCUAUUUAGGUAGCGCCUCGUGAAUUCAUCUCCGGGGGUAGAGCACUGUUUCGGCUAGGGGGCCAUCCCGGCUUACCAACCCGAUGCAAACUGCGAAUACCGGAGAAUGUUAUCACGGGAGACACACGGCGGGUGCUAACGUCCGUCGUGAAGAGGGAAACAACCCAGACCGCCAGCUAAGGUCCCAAAGUCAUGGUUAAGUGGGAAACGAUGUGGGAAGGCCCAGACAGCCAGGAUGUUGGCUUAGAAGCAGCCAUCAUUUAAAGAAAGCGUAAUAGCUCACUGGUCGAGUCGGCCUGCGCGGAAGAUGUAACGGGGCUAAACCAUGCACCGAAGCUGCGGCAGCGAACGUAUCACCCAAGACAACUUUACGGAGUUGACGAUUGACGGAGCGAAGCGACGUCAAAGCGUUCAUUAAAGUCGAGUUGGCUUAGGGAUACGUUCGUUGGGUAGGGGAGCGUUCUGUAAGCCUGUGAAGGUGUGUCGUGAGGCAUGCUGGAGGUAUCAGAAGUGCGAAUGCUGACAUAAGUAACGAUAAAGCGGGUGAAAAGCCCGCUCGCCGGAAGACCAAGGGUUCCUGUCCAACGUUAAUCGGGGCAGGGUGAGUCGACCCCUAAGGCGAGGCCGAAAGGCGUAGUCGAUGGGAAACGGGUUAAUAUUCCCGUACUUGGUGUUACUGCGAAGGGGGGACGGAGAAGGCUAUGUUGGCCGGGCGACGGUUGUCCCGGUUUAAGCGUGUAGGUGUGUGUUCCAGGUAAAUCCGGUUCACUUUAACACUGAGGCGUGACGACGAGGCACUACGGUGCUGAAGCAACAAAUGCCCUGCUUCCAGGAAAAGCCUCUAAGCAUCAGGUAACACGAAAUCGUACCCCAAACCGACACAGGUGGUCAGGUAGAGAAUACCAAGGCGCUUGAGAGAACUCGGGUGAAGGAACUAGGCAAAAUGGUGCCGUAACUUCGGGAGAAGGCACGCUGACACGUAGGUGAAGUGAUUUACUCAUGGAGCUGAAGUCAGUCGAAGAUACCAGCUGGCUGCAACUGUUUAUUAAAAACACAGCACUGUGCAAACACGAAAGUGGACGUAUACGGUGUGACGCCUGCCCGGUGCCGGAAGGUUAAUUGAUGGGGUCAGCGCAAGCGAAGCUCCUGAUCGAAGCCCCGGUAAACGGCGGCCGUAACUAUAACGGUCCUAAGGUAGCGAAAUUCCUUGUCGGGUAAGUUCCGACCUGCACGAAUGGCGUAAUGAUGGCCAGGCUGUCUCCACCCGAGACUCAGUGAAAUUGAACUCGCUGUGAAGAUGCAGUGUACCCGCGGCAAGACGGAAAGACCCCGUGAACCUUUACUAUAGCUUGACACUGAACAUUGAGCCUUGAUGUGUAGGAUAGGUGGGAGGCUUUGAAGUGUGGACGCCAGUCUGCAUGGAGCCGACCUUGAAAUACCACCCUUUAAUGUUUGAUGUUCUAACGUGGACCCGUAAUCCGGGUUGCGGACAGUGUCUGGUGGGUAGUUUGACUGGGGCGGUCUCCUCCUAAAGAGUAACGGAGGAGCACGAAGGUUGGCUAAUCCUGGUCGGACAUCAGGAGGUUAGUGCAAUGGCAUAAGCCAGCUUGACUGCGAGCGUGACGGCGCGAGCAGGUGCGAAAGCAGGUCAUAGUGAUCCGGUGGUUCUGAAUGGAAGGGCCAUCGCUCAACGGAUAAAAGGUACUCCGGGGAUAACAGGCUGAUACCGCCCAAGAGUUCAUAUCGACGGCGGUGUUUGGCACCUCGAUGUCGGCUCAUCACAUCCUGGGGCUGAAGUAGGUCCCAAGGGUAUGGCUGUUCGCCAUUUAAAGUGGUACGCGAGCUGGGUUUAGAACGUCGUGAGACAGUUCGGUCCCUAUCUGCCGUGGGCGCUGGAGAACUGAGGGGGGCUGCUCCUAGUACGAGAGGACCGGAGUGGACGCAUCACUGGUGUUCGGGUUGUCAUGCCAAUGGCACUGCCCGGUAGCUAAAUGCGGAAGAGAUAAGUGCUGAAAGCAUCUAAGCACGAAACUUGCCCCGAGAUGAGUUCUCCCUGAGACUUAG